rnacentral:lncRNA from 1 species
UUUUAGAAUAUACCUCACAGAUGAAAUUUCAAAAAAAGGAGUUAUGGAAGGUUGUAGAUAGUCAGUUCAAAGUAGUGUUUCACUCUAUAAACUCAUUAUAAGUUUAAAACAACAGUUUCACAUGUCCUUGCUAAAUUCCAGUGCACACUGUUAGCAUCAUGCCUGGAUACUACCUAGAAUUAAUGUCUUUCAUUGAUCUAAGGUAUGUCUCAAAUUUCUUUCUCAUCUUACUUGAUUUUUAAAGCUCAUUUCAUUCAUUAUAAUUCAUUCAUUAUUCUAUGAGGAGGUGCAUGUACUGUUCUUGAUUUUAACUUUAUUACAUCUUUCUGGGAAAAUAAAACCUUCUCCUUAAAUUUCUAUCUAAAAUUAUUGAAUCGAAUCAAGAAUUCUAUAGUCAUUAAUUCAUCUAAAAAGCACUAUUAUUUUUUAAUCUUUAUUAACUUGAGUAUUUCUUAUUUACAUUUCGAUUGUUAUUCCCCUUCCAGGUUUCUGGGCCAACAUCCCCCUAACCCUUCCUCCUCCCCUUAUAUAUGGGCUUCCCCUACCCAUCCUCCCCACAACAAUCACGUUAACUCAUGGAUCAGUCUUGGCAGAAACAAGGGCUUCUCCUUCCACUGGUGCUCUUACUAGGCUAUUCAUUGCCACCUAUGAGGUUGGAGCCUAGGGUCAGUCCAGUCUUUGGG